CGUAGGUGGCGAGCGUUGUCCGGAUUUACUGGGCGUAAAGGGAGCGUAGGUGGCUUUGUAAGUCAGUGGUGAAAUAUUGCGGCUCAACCGCAAAACUGCCAUUGAUACUGCUUAGCUUGAAUCACGUCGAGGUGGAUGGAAUAAUACAUGUAGCGGUGAAAUGCUUAGAUAUGUAUUAGAACACCGAUUGCGAAGGCAGUUCACUAGGCGUGUAUUGACACUGAGGCUCGAAAGCGUGGGGGAUCAAACAGGAUUAGAUACCCUGGUAGUCCACGCCCUAAACGAUGUAAACUCGACAUUAGCGAUAUACUGUUAGUGUCCAAGCGAAAGCGUUAAGUUUACCACCUGGGAAGUACGACCGCAAGGUUG
rnacentral:rRNA from 1 species